rnacentral:rRNA from 1 species
UACAGAGGGUGCGAGCGUUAAUCGGAAUUACUGGGCGUAAAGCGUGCGUAGACGGUUUCGUAAGUCGGGUGUGAAAUCCCCGGGCUCAACCUGGGAAUUGCGAUGGAGACUGCAAGGCUAGAAUCUGGCAGAGGGGGGUAGAAUUCCACGUGUAGCAGUGAAAUGCGUAGAGAUGUGGAGGAACACCGAUGGCGAAGGCAGCCCCCUGGGUCAAGAUUGACGCUCAUGCACGAAAGCGUGGGGAGCAAACAGG